CCUACGGGAGGCUGCAGUGGGGAAUAUUGGGCAAUGGAGGCAAGUCUGACGCAGCAACGCCGCGUGAAUGAUGAAGGUCUUCGGGUUGUAAAGUUCUUUUCUAAGGGAAGAAGAAAGUGAAGGUAACUUAGUAAUAAGCCUCGGCUAACUGCGUGACAGCAGCCGCGGUACUACGUACGAGGAGAGCGUUAUACGGAAUGACUGGGCGUAAAGGGUGCGUAGGUGGUUUGGCAAGGUAGUAGCGUAACUCCAAGGCUCAACCUUGGAACUACUACUAAAACUGUUGGACUUGAGUGCAGGAGGGGCAACCGGAAUUCCAGGUGUAGCGGUGAAAUGCGUAGAGAUUAGGAGGAACACCAGUGGCGAAGGCGGGUUGCUAGACUGUAACUGACACUGAGGCACGAAAGCGUGGGGAGCAAACAGGAUUAGAUACCCGAGUAGUC
rnacentral:rRNA from 1 species